CCCUGGGUCAGCAAUGUCCUUUCCUCUGCUCCUGCCCACUCUGCUCCCACCACUCCCAGGAGAAUGGUGGCUUGGAACACGGAGCAGAAACCCACAACCGGCCCUAGCCGCGGUCUGACAUAUGCCCUGGCCGUGAGGAGGAGGAUGUGAGCUUCUUUCUUCUCCCUGGGUGGAAUGCUAUGGAAUGUUCCCCAAUCCCUCUGCCCCCAGCAGGGCGAGGGAAGCAGAAAGACCCCUGGAACACCAGGAGCAAGAAAGAGGCAGGCAGGGCGGCUGGCCAGGUUUGUGCUCAGACUGUAUUCACUCAGAGACACGUGGCAGCUUACAUUGGACAAAACGAGUCAUAAAAAUUGGCUUUAAAUA